CUUGCGCAUGCAUGGUAUUUUUUUUUUUUCCUGAUCUGAUAGGGGCAAGUUUGCUCACUAUGGAACGAAUAAUUCUAAUUAACAUUUGCAAGCCACCGAGUAAUACCUGCCACGACAGCUGCUGGCUAUGUCCCACACUCUCAAAAUCAUUUGGCUGAAAGGAGAGUGCUUUCUAAGGAAGGGCCAAGACACAAGCAUGUCCCACUCCUAGGUUAUCUCCAUUUUGUCCUCGGGCCUGCAGCCCCUUGUGCUCAGGGCAGUGGUCCUGGGCAGCUGCAUAGCCUGGCCUGAGCUGUUCCUGGAGCAGCGCUGGGCACGGGGCGUGCUUGGGCACAGACAGAGCGGCAGUAAGGUUCAAGAGGUGUUCAGGCACUUUGGUCAGCCCCAGCAUGUCUUGUGUAGGUUAAAGAAAGAGAAAAAAUUACCGCCCUCACAGCACUUCAGGCAGCCUGCCUUCCUCAUAAAUACAGCCUCUUCUGCCUGCUGCAGCUCCCCAAAUAGCAUGUUUUCUGUCAAAAUCGCACUCAAGCGAACAUUUUCAGCACAUGCACAAGCCCCACGUUCAAAAUGCUCGUUUUCACACUGGCAAUCCUGACCCAAUUUUAACCCCGGUUGCUAUGGCGCUGGCGCAGGCCGGGCUGUCGGCGCGGCGGGGCGACGUGGCGAUGGCGCGUACACUCGCCUUUUGUUACUCCUUGGCUCGGGCCCAGCGAGCGUGUUUCCCCCCGGCCUUCUCCCGCCACCCCUCCACAGCUGGCAGCAGCCCACAUCUGCAGGCGAGGAGCCCCGGCUGGCUUCCCAGAGGGGUAGAGCCAUGCGAGCUCCUCAUGUGGACCCUUGCUGCCUUUACCUUGAGGACAGAGGGAGAAUGGAAGGGGUCAGGCUGCUGCUGGGAAGGGGAGCAUGGAUCUGGGCGUCAGACAUUCCUCAGGAUGCACAGCAAAGGGACGACAAAUCUCCUCAAAUGGAAGGUGAUGGAGCAGCAGAAAAGAUGCUCUAACUGAAAAAAAUCAUCCAAAGGCUUCUUGGGCACAGCCUCAGCCCUCCUUGCUCUGUGAAGUUCCUUGCACAAAGGCUGUUUAUUCAGACUCAAUGAGGUUCACUCCAAAAAAGUGAUGUUCCUGAGUAUACCUUGUUAUGAAUGCGCU
rnacentral:lncRNA from 1 species